GACGAACGCUGGCGGCGUGCUUAACACAUGCAAGUCGAACGGUGAAGCGCCUUCCUUUUUGGUGGGUGUGGAUGAGUGGCGAACGGGUGAGUAACACGUGAGUAACCUGCCCCCUUCUUCUGGAUAACCGCAUGAAAGUGUGGCUAAUACGGGAUAUUCUGGGUCUGUCGCAUGAUGGGUCUGGGAAAGAUAUUGUUUCGGUGGGGGAUGGGCUCGCGGCCUAUCAGCUUGUUGGUGGGGUGAUGGCCUACCAAGGCGGUGACGGGUAGCCGGCCUGAGAGGGUGGACGGUCACACUGGGGCUGAGACACGGCCCAGACUCCUACGGGAGGCAGCAGUGGGGAAUAUUGCACAAUGGGCGCAAGCCUGAUGCAGCGACGCCGCGUGAGGGAUGGAGGCCUUCGGGUUGUGAACCUCUUUCGCCAGUGAAGCAGGCCUGCCUAGUUUGUGGGUGGGUUGACGGUAGCUGGAUAAGAAGCGCCGGCUAACUACGUG
rnacentral:rRNA from 1 species